rnacentral:rRNA from 1 species
CGCGGGGGCAACCCUGGCGGCGAGCGGCGAACGGGUGCGUAAUACAUCGGAACAUGUCCAGUUGUGGGGGAUAGCCCGGCGAAAGCCGGAUUAAUACCGCAUGAGCUCUGGCGAGGAAAGCGGGGGACCGAAAGGCCUCGCGCGACUGGGUUGGCCGAUGUCCGAUUAGCUAGUUGGUGGGGUAAAGGCCUACCAAGGCGAUGAUCGGUAGCUGGUCUGAGAGGAUGAUCAGCCACACUGGGACUGAGACACGGCCCAGACUCCUACGGGAGGCAGCAGUGGGGAAUUUUGGACAAUGGGGGCAACCCUGAUCCAGCCAUUCCGCGUGAGUGAAGAAGGCCUUCGGG